rnacentral:rRNA from 1 species
UACGGGGGGAGCAAGCGUUGUUCGGAUUUACUGGGCGUAAAGGGCGCGUAGGCGGCGCAACAAGUCACUUGUGAAAUCUCCGGGCUUAACUCGGAAAGGUCAAGUGAUACUGUUGUGCUAGAGUGCGGAAGGGGCAACUGGAAUUCUCGGUGUAGCGGUGAAAUGCGUAGAUAUCGAGAGGAACACCAGUGGCGAAGGCGAGUCCCUGGACAACACCUGACACUGAGGCACGAAAGCUAGGGGAGCAAACAGG